GAAACGGGAUUACAUAUAAAAUCUAGAGAGAAGCAUUCUCAGGAACUUCUUUGUGAUGUUUGCAUUCAAGUCACAGAAUUGAACAUUCCCUUUCAUAGAGCAGGUUUGAAACACUCUUUCUGUAGUAUCUGCAAGCGGACGUUUCAAGCGCUUUCAGGCCUAUGGUGAGAAAGGAAAUAUCUUCAAAUAAAAACUAGACAGAAGCAUUCUCAGAAACUUGUU
rnacentral:lncRNA from 1 species